rnacentral:lncRNA from 1 species
UUUAGAACUGUACUUCACACCUUCAAGGUGUGGGGAUGUUUUUUUUUUGCUUGAAGACUCUUGGAGAUUACUAGACCCAGACUGCAGCUACACUAAAUGGCAAGGAGACUUUCCCCAGCCUGGAAGAAGACGCCGCCGUCCAUCAAGGCGUCAUCCUCAAGACUACAGAGACUGUGGAAGAAUCCCCUUCUGCUCAUCUUCUUCACUGGAGACUCCAGCAUCCUCAUGGCUAUCGCUCAGGAGUCCAAAUCCAGCCAAGGAGGAAAAGCAUCUCCAGAGCUCCCUGCGUGUGUUCCAGCCCUAACCCUACCCUGGCAUCACUGGACGUGGACACAGAAGUACAUGCAGAAAUAUAUACUUGCAAAGAAAGGAGUAAAUAAGAGGAAGAAACUUCUUCUGGAUGCCACACACUCCUGAAUGCCUGCUGAGGACUUUUCUUUUUAUGCAUGCUUAUGUUUUGUAGUUGGCUUGACUUGUUUGCCUUGUCAUAUCUGUUCUUCAGUGUUACUUGUAAUAAUUGCUUUGUUUUUCAAAGUUACUUGUAAUAAAUGCUUUGUUUUUCAGUGUUACUUGUAAUAA